rnacentral:rRNA from 1 species
UACGAAGGGGGCUAGCGUUGCUCGGAAUCACUGGGCGUAAAGGGUGCGUAGGCGGGCUGUCAAGUCUGGGGUGAAAUGCCGCGGCUCAACCGUGGAACUGCCUUAGAUACUGACGGCCUCGAGGAAGGUAGGGGCAUGCGGAACUGUAGGUGGAGCGGUGAAAUGCGUUGAUAUCUACAGGAACUCCGGUGGCGAAAGCGGCGUGCUGGACCUUUUCUGACGCUGAGGCGCGAAAGCUAGGGGAGCAAACGGG